rnacentral:rRNA from 1 species
UUUUAUAUAUUUUUAGUACGAAAGGACCAUUAUUAUAAAUGAAAUUUUUUAUUUGAUUAUUAUUA